AGAACGAACGCUGGCGGCAUGCCUAAUACAUGCAAGUCGAACGAACUCUUCGGAGUUAGUGGCGCACGGGUGCGUAACGCGUGGGAAUCUGCCCCUUGGUUCGGAAUAACAGUUGGAAACGACUGCUAAUACCGGAUGAUGACGAAAGUCCAAAGAUUAUCGCCAAGGGAUGAGCCCGCGUAGGAUUAGCUAGUUGGUGAGGUAAAGGCUCACCAAGGCAACGAUCCUUAGCUGGUCUGAGAGGAUGAUCAGCCACACUGGGACUGAGACACGGCCCAGACUCCUAGGGAGCAGCAGUA
rnacentral:rRNA from 1 species